rnacentral:rRNA from 1 species
UACGUAGGGGGCAAGCGUUGUCCGGAUUUAUUGGGCGUAAAGAGCUCGUAGGCGGUUUGGUAAGUCUGGUGUGAAAUCUCCACGCUCAACGUGGAGGGGCCACCCGAUACUGCCAUGACUGGAGUCCGGUAGAGGAGUGUGGAAUUCCCGGUGUAGCGGUGAAAUGCGCAGAUAUCGGGAGGAACACCCGUAGCGAAGGCGGCGACCUGGGCCAAUAUUGACGCUGAGGUGCGAAAGCGUGGGGAGCAAACAGG